AAUAAAAAAAUCUUUGGUUGGGGCAACCACGAAGAAAAAAAAACCUUCGUUUAUUAAAAAAAUUAACAAAUUUAAAAUUUAUUAAAAAAUGAUCCAAAAAAUUUGAUCAAAGAAAAAAGUUACCGUAGGGAUAACAGCGUUAUUUUCUUUAAGAGUCCUUAUUGACAAGAAAGUUUGCGACCUCGAUGUUGGACCGGGGUAUCCCAGAGAUGCAAAAGUCUCUAAAGGUAGGUCUGUUCGACCUUUAAAACCCUACGUGAUCUGAGUUCAGACCGACGCAAGUCAGGUCAGUUUCUAUCUA
rnacentral:rRNA from 1 species